UGGGGAAUUUUGGACAAUGGGCGAAAGCCUGAUCCAGCAAUGCCGCGUGUGUGAAGAAGGCCUUCGGGUUGUAAAGCACUUUUGUCCGGAAAGAAAUCCUUGGCUCUAAUACAGUCGGGGGAUGACGGUACCGGAAGAAUAAGCACCGGCUAACUACGUGCCAGCAGCCGCGGUAAUACGUAGGGUGCAAGCGUUAAUCGGAAUUACUGGGCGUAAAGCGUGCGCAGGCGGUUUGCUAAGACCGAUGUGAAAUCCCCGGGCUCAACCUGGGAACUGCAUUGGUGACUGGCAGGCUAGAGUAUGGCAGAGGGGGGUAGAAUUCCACGUGUAGCAGUGAAAUGCGUAGAGAUGUGGAGGAAUACCGAUGGCGAAGGCAGCCCCCUGGGCCAGUACUGACGCUCAUGCACGAAAGCGUGGGGAGCAAACAGGAUUAGAUACCCUGGUAGUCCACGCCCUAAACGAUGUCAACUAGUUGUUGGGGAUUCAUUUCCUAGUAACGUAGCUAACGCGUGAAGUUGACCGCCUGGGGAGUACGGUCGCAAGAUU
rnacentral:rRNA from 1 species